rnacentral:rRNA from 1 species
UGGGGAAUAUUGGACAAUGGGCGCAAGCCUGAUCCAGCAAUGCCGCGUGUGUGAAGAAGGCCUUCGGGUUGUAAAGCACUUUUAUCAGGAGCGAAACGCUGUCGGCUAAUACCCGGCGGAACUGACGGUACCUGAGGAAUAAGCACCGGCUAACUUCGUGCCAGCAGCCGCGGUAAAUACGAAGGGUGCAAGCGUUAAUCGGAAUUACUGGGCGUAAAGCGUGCGUAGGCGGUUUCUUAAGUCUGCUGUGAAAUCCCCGGGCUCAACCUGGGAAUGGCAGUGGAUACUGGGAGGCUAGAGUGUGUCAGAGGGUGGUGGAAUUCCCGGUGUAGCGGUGAAAUGCGUAGAGAUCGGGAGGAACAUCAGUGGCGAAGGCGGCCACCUGGGACAACACUGACGCUGAGGCACGAAAGCGUGGGGAGCAAAGCAGGAUUAGAUA